rnacentral:rRNA from 1 species
UGGGGAAUAUUGCACAAUGGGCGAAAGCCUGAUGCAGCGACGCCGCGUGAGGGAUGACGGCCUUCGGGUUGUAAACCUCUUUCAGUAGGGACGAAGCGCAAGUGACGGUACCUGCAGAAGAAGCACCGGCUAACUACGUGCCAGCAGCCGCGGUAAUACGUAGGGUGCGAGCGUUUUCCGGAAUUACUGGGCGUAAAGAGCUCGUAGGCGGUUUGUCACGUCGUCUGUGAAAUCCUAGGGCUUAACCCUGGACGUGCAGGUGAUACGGGCUGACUUGAGUACUACAGGGGAGACUGGAAUUUCUGGUGUAGCGGUGGAAUGCACAGAUAUCAGGAAGAACACCGAUGGCGAAGGCAGGUCUCUGGGUAGUAACUGACGCUGAGGAGCGAAAGCAUGGGUAGCGAACAGG